rnacentral:rRNA from 1 species
GACGAACGCUGGCGGCGUGCUUAACACAUGCAAGUCGAACGGAAAGGCCCUGCUUUUGUGGGGUGCUCGAGUGGCGAACGGGUGAGUAACACGUGAGUAACCUGCCCUUGACUUUGGGAUAACUUCAGGAAACUGGGGCUAAUACCGGAUAGGAGCUCCUGCUGCAUGGUGGGGGUUGGAAAGUUUCGGCGGUUGGGGAUGGACUCGCGGCUUAUCAGCUUGUUGGUGGGGUAGUGGCUUACCAAGGCUUUGACGGGUAGCCGGCCUGAGAGGGUGACCGGCCACAUUGGGACUGGGAUACGGGCCCAACUCCUAAGGGGGGGAGGAGUGGGGAAUAUUGCACAAUGGGCGGAAGCCUGAUGCAGCAACGCCGCGUGCGGGAUGACGGCCUUCGGGUUGUAAACCGCUUUCGCCUGUGACGAAGCGUGAGUGACGGUAAUGGGUAAAGGAGCACCGGCUAACUAAGUG